CGGCGGGGAGGGCCGGGGAGCUAGCCCUUCCCUGUAACCCCAAACGGGCUACACGGGGGGGCCAGUAACCCGAGGGGCGGGGCUGACGCAGGCCGUCUGGCCCAGCCCCCAGCCGUGAAGGCCCGUCCCACGGGGCCGGCGGUCGCCCAGCCACCCCCGUAGGGGGGUGUGUUUGGGCGUUUGCCGGGUGAACCUGGCCAGGCCCGGGAGGGAGCAACCUAAGCCCGGACGUUCGGCGCUCAGGGGGGUGCGGGUGGAAGCACGGGGGCGGAGACACCCCAACGGACACCGGGCGUCGAACCCUGGGACCCGCCG
rnacentral:SRP_RNA from 1 species